GCUCAGUUGGUUAAACGUCUGACUUCAGCUCAGGUCAUGAUCUGGCAAUCCGUGAGUUCAAGCCCCACAUUGGGCU
rnacentral:tRNA from 1 species